AUGUACCACUUCCCGGGGCCCUUUUUUCUCCCAACUUUUAAAAUAGUUCUAUUUAUGAGCAUUUUCUUUAAAACAAAG
ensembl:antisense 2900060B14Rik RIKEN cDNA 2900060B14 gene